GCUUGUCUCAAAGAUUAAGCCAUGCAUGUCUAAGUACAAGCCUCAGUAAGGUGAAACCGCGAAUGGCUCAUUAAAUCACACCUAAUCUACUGGAAAGUUACUAGUUACUUGGAUAACUGAGGUAAUUCUUGAGCUAAUACAUGCCCGAAGUCCGGAGUCGCAAGACGAAGGAUGCAUUUAUUAGAUCGAACCAACGUUGUUGGUGAGUCAUAGUAACUGAGCGAAUCGCCGUUUGGCGAUGGUUCAUUCAAGUUUCUGCCCUAUCAGCUUUCGAUGGUAGGGUAUUGGCCUACCAUGGCGUUAACGGGUAACGGAGAAUUGGGGUUCGAUUCCGGAGAGGGAGCCUGAGAGAUGGCUACCACAUCCAAGGAAGGCAGCAGG
rnacentral:rRNA from 1 species